GGUCCCUUCGUCUAGUGGUUAGGACUCCAGGUUCUCAUCCUGGCAACACGGGUUCGACUCCCGUAGGGAUCACCA
rnacentral:tRNA from 1 species